rnacentral:rRNA from 2 species
ACGGUGGAUGCCCUGGCAGUCAGAGGCGAUGAAGGACGUGCUAAUCUGCGAUAAGCGCCGGUAAGGUGAUAUGAACCGUUAUAACCGGCGAUUUCCGAAUGGGGAAACCCAGUGUGAUUCGUCACACUAUCAUUAACUGAAUCCAUAGGUUAAUGAGGCGAACCGGGGGAACUGAAACAUCUAAGUACCCCGAGGAAAAGAAAUCAACCGAGAUUCCCCCAGUAGCGGCGAGCGAACGGGGAGGAGCCCAGAGCCUGAAUCAGCAUGUGUGUUAGUGGAAGCGUCUGGAAAGGCGCGCGAUACAGGGUGACAGCCCCGUACACAAAAGCGCAUGUGCUGUGAGCUCGAUGAGUAGGGCGGGACACGUGGUAUCCUGUCUGAAUAUGGGGGGACCAUCCUCCAAGGCUAAAUACUCCUGACUGACCGAUAGUGAACCAGUACCGUGAGGGAAAGGCGAAAAGAACCCCGGCGAGGGGAGUGAAAAAGAACCUGAAACCGUGU